rnacentral:misc_RNA from 1 species
GAAAUGCGAUACGUAGUGUGAAUUGCAGAAUUCCGUGAAUCAUCAAGUCUUUGAACGCAUAUUGCACUCGAGGCCUCGGCUUAGAGUAUGUCUGGCUCAGCGUCGAUGUAUCCCUCACCCAAACAUAUAUAUGCCUUGUGUAUGUAUACAUUUGGAUGGACCUGGCUGUCCCGGCAUUCGGAUUCAUUUCUGAAAGCCGGGUUAGCUGAAGCAUAGAGGCUAAUCAAGGACCGUCAUGGGCCGCAUCUAGGUAGGCAGCAUCACUGCUACAUAUUUAGAUGUUGGCUUGGCUCUUGGGAUAUUGCCCUCAAACCAGGAAACACUCUUACAUUUUCGACCUGAGCUCAGGCAAGAACACCCGCUGAACUUAA